rnacentral:rRNA from 1 species
GAUGAACGCUGGCGGCGUGCUUAACACAUGCAAGUCGAACGGAAAGGCCCAAGCUUGCUUGGGUACUCGAGUGGCGAACGGGUGAGUAACACGUGGGUGAUCUGCCCUGCACUUCGGGAUAAGCCUGGGAAACUGGGUCUAAUACCGGAUAGGACGAUGGUUUGGAUGCCAUUGUGGAAAGUUUUUUCGUUGUGGGAUGAGCUCGCGGCCUAUCAGCUUGUUGGUGGGGUGAUGGCCUACCAAGGCGUCGACGGGUAGCCGGCCUGAGAGGGUGUACGGCCACAUUGGGACUGAGAUACGGGCCAGACCCCUACGGGAGGCAGCAGGGGGGAAUAUUGCACAAUGGGCGCAAGCCUGAUGCAGCGACGCCGCGUGGGGGAUGACGGCCUUCGGGUUGUAAACUCCUUUCGCUAGGGACGAAGCGUUUUUGUGACGGUACCUGGAGAAGAAGCACCGGCUAACUACGUG